rnacentral:rRNA from 1 species
UACAGAGGUCUCAAGCGUUGUUCGGAAUUACUGGGCGUAAAGCGUGCGCAGGCGGUUGGCAAAGUCAGCUGUGAAAGCCCCGGGCUCAACCUGGGAAUGGCGGUUGAAACUAGUCGACUCGAAUCUGGCAGAGGGGGGUGGAAUUCCACGUGUAGCAGUGAAAUGCGUAGAGAUGUGGAGGAACACCGAUGGCGAAGGCAGCCCCCUGGGCUAACACUGACGCUCAUGCACGAAAGCGUGGGGAGCGAUCCGG